rnacentral:rRNA from 1 species
AUUGAACGCUGGCGGCAGGCCUAACACAUGCAAGUCGAGCGGAGCGGCGGUCGGGUGAGUAAUGCCUAUGACUCUGCCUCUUAGUGGGGGAUAACGUCCGGAACCGGGCGCUAUUACCGCUUCCUCUCAGCUUAGCCUAGGUCGGAUUAGCUAGUUGGUGGGGUAGAGGCCUACCAAGGCGACGACCCGUACCUGGUCUGAGAGGAUGAUCAGUCACACUGGAACUGAGACACGGUCCAGACUCCGACGGGAGGCAGCAGUGGGGAAUAUUGGACAAUGGGCGAAAGCCUGAUCCAGCCAUGCCGCGUGUGUGAAGAAGGUCUUCGGAUUGUAAAGCACUUUAAGUUGGGAGGCGUUACCAACAGAAUAAGCACCGGCUAACUUCGUGCCAGCAGCCGCGGUAAUUC